UCAGGAUGAACGCUGGCGGCGUGCUUAACACAUGCAAGUCGAACGAUGAACUGGUGCUUGCACUGGGGAUUAGUGGCGAACGGGUGAGUAACACGUGAGUAACCUGCCCUUGACUCUGGGAUAAGCCUGGGAAACUGGGUCUAAUACCGGAUAUGACCUUCCAUCGCAUGGUGGUUGGUGGAAAGCUUUUGUGGUUUUGGAUGGACUCGCGGCCUAUCAGCUUGUUGGUGGGGUAAUGGCCUACCAAGGCGACGACGGGUAGCCGGCCUGAGAGGGUGACCGGCCACACUGGGACUGAGACACGGCCCAGACUCCUACGGGAGGCAGCAGUGGGGAAUAUUGCACAAUGGGCGCAAGCCUGAUGCAGCGACGCCGCGUGAGGGAUGACGGCCUUCGGGUUGUAAACCUCUUUCAGUAGGGAAGAAGCGAAAGUGACGGUACCUGCAG
rnacentral:rRNA from 1 species